rnacentral:hammerhead_ribozyme from 1 species
AUCCAGCUGACGAAUUCCAAAUAGGACGAAACGCGCGUUUUGGAU